GAUGAUCAGGUUGAUAGGUCUGAGGUGGAAGUGUGGCGACACAUGGAGCUGACAGAUACUAAUCGAUCGAGGACUUAACCAAUUU
rnacentral:rRNA from 1 species